rnacentral:tRNA from 1 species
GGCCUCGUCGUCUACCGGUUAGGACGCCGGCCUUUCACACCGGCAAAGCGGGUUCGACUCCCGCCGAGGCUA